UCAAUAGGAGAAAAAAUUGACCUGACACCUUAGCCUAUGAAAUGCACAUGCCGCAAAAGAUUAGCCAUAGCAAGAACAUGCUACCAUUGUCGUGGCUCCACCUACUUGCUUCCAUUUCCAUGGGAUAUAAAGUUGAUGACAAUGUGGAUUAGGCAUCUCUCCUAUACCAAUUAAGCCACUGAUCUUCGAACCAGGGGUGACCAUUCUUGACAAGGAGUCCAGGACCCUCUAACUUAUUUGAACCCACUCAAACAAAUAAGUCAGAGUGAAGGAUUUUUUUGAUUGACUCGAGUUUGAAUUAU
rnacentral:lncRNA from 1 species